UACGUAGGGUGCGAGCGUUGUCCGGAAUUAUUGGGCGUAAAGAGCUUGUAGGCGGUUUGUCGCGUCUGCCGUGAAAAUCCGGGGCUCAACCCCGGACUUGCAGUGGGUACGGGCAGACUGGAGUGUGGUAGGGGAGACUGGAAUUCCUGGUGUAGCGGUGGAAUGCGCAGAUAUCAGGAGGAACACCGAUGGCGAAGGCAGGUCUCUGGGCCACUACUGACGCUGAGAAGCGAAAGCAUGGGGAGCGAACAGG
rnacentral:rRNA from 1 species